GAUAGAAUGUCCAUUCCUGCAAGACCAAACUGCAAGAACACUACAGCAAAAAAAGGCUUGGCUGAGACACACCAUUGGCUAACUUGGGGAUUCAUCCUGCUAAUAGGAUGCUGAAGCGGAAGCUGAGAGUGAACAGAUUGUUGGUGGAAGAUGAGCAAUGAAAUACAGAUUCCAUUACGUGGGAGAAUUGGACAAUGGUUUGAUUCUUUAGAAUUUAGAGUAAGCCUCGUACUUGACAGAUUAUUCCAUAGAAUAUAAUCUUGAGAUUAUUAUUAGUAUUUUUUUAUUCUUUUUUUCUUUCUUGCCAAACACACACACUUUGGAGGAUAAAACCCCUCUCUAUUGCUAUAUUUUAAUGCUAUUCUAAGUUAGGGAGUUCUUUUUUUUCUUCUUUAGUAAUAUCCACUUUGAUAUUCACUAAGAGAGAAAAAAAAAAACUAUUCUUUUUGGCUAAUUUCCAUGUCUCUUAUUUGGUGGUUUCUUUUCUUCACUCCUCAACUUGUCUAUGACAUUUCUUAAUCAAAUUGGAUAUUUAUUUAAUUAUUUAUUUCUUCA